GGAUAGCAACCACGUGAUCAGUAAAAAUUGUGUAUUUUCACGUGAAUUCAUUUUCCGGAAUUCCUUACUCCGUCAUAGAAUAGUCGAAAAACAAAAAGGGGUUCCGAAAGUGUUCUGUUGCUGUGACUGACUCGCCUACAGAAAAUAUGCACAUACCACAUAAGUAUACGUCAAUGUCUGUAAUAAUGGUAGAUCAAAUGUUUCAUCUGUGUGAAACUUUUUGCUAAUCGAAAUGUUAAACCAACCACCAAUCCAUGUACAUUGAUGCAUGAUGCGCUACGUAAACAAAGUUGUUGAUUGAUGCAUCGUAAUGUCCGAGUGCUGCAUGCUGCGAGAUUAAAUACUGUUUAUACAGUCAUUUAGAGGCUAAACAAAGUUUCUUGCAAGAAGAGGAAGUUGGUGGAUGCAUUCAACUUGGACAACGAAAUCAUAGUUUUGUUUGGCAUCAGCCUGAAGACCGAGGGAGGUUAGAUAGGACCAGUGCAGGUUGAAAUGGAUUUCGAGUCAACAAGUAUAACAGCAAGAGAGGUACUCCAUUUACAGUGAUGAUGACAUAUCCCCUGGACCCCCACAACUCCAUAAAUUUAAAAAUGUUUGAUCAAGUUCCGAAGAUUAAAGAACUACUGCAAAAUUUGGGACUGGAUGAAAAACAUUAAUUCACUUAUAUGAGCUCAGAGCAGUGGAUGUUGUACAACAUACUUUAAACUAAAUUGUGAAUUUAAGGGAAAACAAGUACAUGUACUCGUAUAUUACAUGUACAUGCCUUUUGAAAGACAAUAAUAUUGCAUAGAUGUAAAGGAAAUUUCAAUGUUGAUUAUUCUUUCUUAGAUAUAUCAGUAAUAAAUGUGCACAUGAUAGAAUAUCAAUUUUAUAACUUCAAUCAAUGUGUUUGAAUUUUCCUUGUAAUUCAAAAUUUAGUUGAAACAUACAUCAUUGAUACAUUAAUGUAUAUCAAAUUUUUAGAAAAGUUUCAUAAUGGAACUAAUUCACCCCCCCCCCCCCCCUUAUACAUACAGUGAACAUAGACCUUCACCUGGGGAAAACUUCAGUUAGUUAAUGCAAUAUACAUGUACAUGCAUUCUCAGUUAUCCAAUAGUGAGUUUUUGGUUCAUUUUGAAACUACAAUUAGAGAUCUUA